CUGCAUUCGAGCUCAAUCUGUUCACAAAUCCCUGGCCACUGCGUAUGCUCUAGCUGCUCCUCGCCUGUAGCAUAACAUCUGACCCCAGGCAGCCUGCCAUCUGCUCGACCCGGAUGCCCAAGCAAAGAGGUCCAUCCAACAACCCCACUAUGAAUGUAAAUUGGCCUGUUUGACUUAACCUAUUGACUUUCUUCUAUGGUAGAUGAUUUGUUUGCCACCUGGGUUGGCCAGAGAAUAUAGAGCUUCCCUGACUGUCAAGGAGGCGAGGGCACACCAGAGGGACGAAAAGUCGUGCGUAGAGGAAAUGAUUACCGCCUUUCUAUUUCUGUACCGCCAAGCUCUUUAUUGGUCUUAGGCUGCCGUGGCAGAGAAUGUGUGUGUGUGUGUGUGUGUGUGUGUGUUUUCCAUCUACCUCCUGCAAAGCACACUCCACUGACUGUUUGGAUCUAUCAGCGUGUACCUGAUCUCUCUUCCACGGCUGGACUGAGGAAAUAAGGGAAAUAAGCAGUAUCACAGCGGGCCUAUCCCGUAGCAUCACGGAAGAGUUGUCACGAUGAUAGUUACAAUGCUAACUGCUAUGUACAUGGUGGUCAGGGUAGUUGAAAAGAUAGGAGUGCGGUUUGCGCGCAGGGAUCCUCCCUUGCCUUUCGUGGUGACCCAGGUUCUGCCCUGGCAGGUGCACCAUGUGUCCCAAAAGAGGAGGAGCAGCGCAACAGCAGAGUACGAUGGCCCGAGGAGGAACAGCCUAGGAGUGUUCAGAAAGAGUGAGUAUGAGACCAAACAAUGUUUAAAAGAGUGAAAUGCACACAUCUCGAAAACAUUUCCCAGGAAAUGGAUCCGAGAGGAAAUCAUUCGUGUAUAUAUUUUUUAAAAUUGGUACACUGGUAUGCUGCUCCCACAGUGUUUUAAGGGUUUGACUGGGUCUUCCUCAUUGCAACCCAGUUACGGGGUCGAAACAUCCUUUUCUCGUCAAAACCCUUCGGGAGCAGUAUACGAGUGUGUGGAUUUAUGUUUUUCUUAUCUCUAACACCCGGACAUUCCGUGGCAAUAUAUCUAUAUAGAUAACAACGUAGUAGAAUCGCCUACCCAACGUAGAGGCUUGCUGAAAGGUUACAUUACUUCAUAACCCCUAACUUUACAAACCACUUGUGCCUUACUACUUAUGUACUUGCUACGUGUGCUACACACAGUAAAUUCGGACCUCUUCCCCAAUACAACGUUGGCUGUUGCUGUUGCCACUUUGGCUGUGCCCUGUCUCCUGACGUGCAACCGGAAAGACUCCGCCUGCAGCAACGGGUGUGCAGCGGCGCCCCUCGGCCUCACCCUGCCCGUGGAGAAAGCUGCAGCCACCAUCCAGAACCAGUUCAGGAAGUACCAGCAGAAGAAGAAGGAGACCAAGUAGAAGCACACCCGCACCACCCGAGCUCUGCAAGACAGACAGACGGACACAAACACACUGGCGGGGGACACAGGACAGACAGACAGACAGACAGACAGACAGACAGACAGACAGACAGACAGACAGACAGACAGACAGACAGACAGACAGACAGACAGACAGACAGACAGACAGACAGACACAAACACAGACAGACAGACAGACAGACAGACAGACAGACAGACAGACAGACAGACAGACAGACAGACAGACAGACAGACAGACAGACAGACAGACAGACAGACAGACAGACAGACAGACAGACAGACAGACAGACAGACAGACAGACAGACAGACAGACAGACAGAGACCUCUCCAAAAUGUAAAGAACAAGAGGACCAAACAUUUCCUCUAACUCUGUUACCUGUGUUGCGCAGCAUGUUAAGUAAAAGCAAAGUAAAUAGUACUGACUGACUUGACAUGUGUCGAACAUUACACACACACACACACACACACACACACACACACACACACACACACACACACACACACACACACACACACACACACACACACACACACACACACACACACACACACACACACACACACACACGUUCAACCACAAAAUGAACGGACUAAAUAUUACACACAUCCCGUCUUAUACUAUGUAACUGAAUAUAUAGACGUAUGUAUGAAUAAUAUGUCCUUUAUAUGCUAAUGGUUAGAGCGUUGGACUAGUAACCGAAAGGUUUCAAGUUCAUAUCCCCGAGCUGACAUCUGUCGUUCUGCCCCUGAACAAGGCAGUUAACCCACUGUUCCUAGGCCGUCAUUGAAAAUAAGAAUUUGUUGUUAACUGACUUGCCUAGUUAAAUUAUUAAAUUAUAGUAUUUGUGAAGUAUUUGUGAAGAUAAUUAUGUGCGAGUGUAUCUUUGCAUGUCUGUGUGUGUGUGUCAGCGAGCAUGUGAGAGCGUGCACAUUGUGCUGUAUGUAAUUACAGUAUGUAUCCUAUUUCAAAGAUGAAUAGAUGGAUUGCUAAUGAAAGAAAAACAUACACUGAACACACUCCAUUAAACUCCUGGGUAAGCCUGGAUUGGCGUUCUUUAUGUUGUUGCACUGCCCUCUAGUGUUGAAGUAAUGAAUUGCUCUAAUUUCACAUGUUGGGUUAUUCCGACCACGUAAUCAAUCAUUCUUGUGAGAUUUUCAAUAAGACUUGCUCGUUUUAGUUCAAAAAGUUUUUGCAUGGCAAAACGCUUUGCCACAUUAUGUACUAAUAAAUACACCCCUUGAUCCAGCGUGAAGGAAAGGAUGGAAAAAAGGAAGAUAUGACUCAUAGAAAGGAUAGCUUUAUUGCACAAGGUGUUGGAGUACUCUUUUUCUGGUUUUGUUUGUUUUCAUAGAAAAGAAAAAAAACGGUAGAGUUAAACAAGCAAUUGCAAAUUGAAGCAAAUUUUCCAUAAAACUUUAAGAACUCUCUCAGUAUUUUUUAAAACGCUUUUCCCCUCACCCCUUUUUCAUAAAUUUGUUUCUCCAUCUUUAUUUUUAUACCCAACAAAUAAUUCAGAGCAUGCAAUGCCGUUUUUCCUCAACAGAAAAAAAAGAAAAGUGAACAAGAAAGAAAAUCAAUAUUUGAAACUCAAUAUUUGAAAUUCUGGAUUUCUUUUGUUGUUGCCCCAUUCAAAAAUCUAAUUCUAAAGCAGUGUCACUAUAAUUCUAUAGUUUUCUUUAACCCUCUCCUGUUUAAAGUUAUAACUUGAAUCAAAGUUAACAUUGUUGCCCUGGUUUCAUUUGGAGAUGUUGAAAACAGUACUUAUUUAUACAAAACACUUUGCUAUGUACAAGAGUCUUUAACAGUGGGGUAGCAAUGCUGUUGGGGCAGGAGGUGCCGGUAGGGGGGAAUCUGAGACCCCCUUGAGACCUGAUAUUAACAUGUGCCCUGGCAAUGGGUCUGUGGUCACAUCCGCUCACACCCAAUCAAAUUGGUCUGGAGUAGACAUUGUGGGUCAAAUCUGAUCACAGGGCACGUUAUUACCAGAUGUAACUGAGAGUGUGAUUGGUCAAAUAGGUGGGGCAAAAGGUCAGGGUAGGGUGGGGAGUUUGAUCCCUGACCCCAUCCAAUAUGCACACGGCUUUUCCUGGGAUUGGUUGGAUCUAGGGGAGUCCCUGAUUUCAAUUGGCUGAACAGGCCUGCCCCUUCACGUGGCACCCCCGUGUCGUCUCAAAGCAAACCGUUUCAAAAGAAUUGCAUAACCAAGGAAGCCAAAACAAAACAAACGGUACCAUAAUAAUAUCAACUGAAAGAAAAGGUUCUAGCGGACACUCUCCUGUCCUGUUCACUGUCUGCAACAGGCGGGGAGGAGCGUGAGUGUUGUCAGUUACGAGCAGUUAUAACAGUUGUAUGUAUGUCCGGAAUAGGAGUGCUGUGCACGGACAUAAUGACAACGGUAAGACACAGAGGUCACUAUGUGCUGUCUUCAUUUAAGUUCAGUCAUGAGACGUCAUGGAGGCUGUCAACAGAACACACCUUGGGAAGGUACAAUGCAACAGGUUACAUUUGUGUCUACCAUUUGCACUCUCUUAAUACCUGCAGUAGGGUCAUACUUCUAAGUUGGCCGUAGAUUUGGGGACGGUCACAAUAAGAAUGUGGGCUGGCACUGUGGCACGGCCCACCACUGUUACCUGAAUCCCCACGUGCCAGGGUUAGUUGUGGCAGGGUUAGUUGUGCCAGGGUUAGUUGUGCCAGGGUUAGGCUCUAAACUGAACUCUACACGGAUGUUGCCUUAGCUUGUGACUCAGUGCUGAAGCUACCGUACCGCUCACUAACUAGUGCUAACUAGUGCUUAUAAAUGGUUAAAGGUUCCCUGAAAUCUUUCUUUUAUCUGUAGGUGAUGUCCCUCCCCCUUUUCUACAGGUACACUUAAAAGAGGGUCUUGCUGACCACAAGGAAUGCACUUUAACCUCACUGACCACAAAAGCCACUCUGACCCCAAAGCUACCCGCAGUGUCGUCUACUCUCCACCAGGGUGGACCACAGAGGCAACUCCAAACCAAAUCGACUACAGGUCUGACGUUAUUAAAACACAUGAACCACACGGGCUGCCAUGGGGUUCACUGACACACAAGCCAUUCUGACACAAGCUUUACAAAAUGCAAAUAGACUGCAUUAGUUUGCAGCCAGCCUCACUGGCUAAGGUACAACCCAUCACUGGCUAAGGUACAACCCAUCACUGGCUAAGGUACAACCCAUCACUGGCUAAGGUACAACCCAUCACUGGCUA
ensembl:lncRNA